AACUUGACCUUCACCCCUUCUUGACCAGACAAAAUGAUCUGUGGCCCUUCUCAACUGGAACACAAGCAAUGAGCUCCUAACUAAUGGCAGUACCGUGUCGGCUUCUUUAAUUCUGUGCUUAUACUGUUUGUUUGUUUGUUUGCUUGUUUUGCUGGUUUUUACAAUUCUGUAAGUGAUUCCAUGCCCUUUAAUGUCCCUUCCAACCCAAGCACCUCUAUUUUAUGGCUCUUUGGCAGGCUGGAGAUGAACAGGAGCUUGGGAGGGGACAGAGACAAGAUAGCUGACAAAAAGAGAUAAAACGGACGCUGCAUACAGAAUGAGGUCACACUCAGUAAGAAGAGGUGGGGAAAAGAGGGAAAAGGGAGAAGUUUCCUCCCCCCAAGAGACAGGAAGCACGGCCCCUGCUAAGGGCUCUAUGUGUCCUGAAAUAAAAGCAGGGGCUCUGCAGAUGCGAGAAAUGCAUCAUGGGCUGCAUCACAGCCUCUCGCUGUGAGUAACUCUCUGUCAGCUGCAGAAACACACAGCACGUGUCCUAGGCUCGCAACACAAGCCUGUGACCAUCUGCACCCAGCUCACAGCAAAGCAGGAACCGUGAGGAGAGAUCUCCAAAAGAUGUGCGGGCAGGUGGGAUGGGCCGUGCCGUGUCCCCAUGUCCAUGUCCUCCUGCUGCUGGUGUUUGGUGAGUUGGGGCUGCUUUGGGUAGCAGGGAACCCUGCUUCGAGGAAGAAGCCCCGCACAAAGAGGCUUGAGAUGGUGCCGAGGGUGGAGGUAGAGUACGCGUGGGAUGGAGACUUGCACCAAAAGCAUGAUUUUUGAAGUAGAGGAGACUGCAUCUGGAAAAGAAAACCCAUCCCAAAUGGAUUUAGGCUUGCUCAAAUGGAGAUAGUGGUGAUACGGGAAGGGGAUACACUUGUGGAGUGGUGACUGCUGAAGACUGGAGACAUGGACAGAAACAUGUGGGUGUGCAGGACACUGUCCCUCUAACCAAACCCCUCACUGCUCCACCGUGCAGGUACUGCUGUGAGCACCCAGGGCAUCUGCAGUUCCACAGCUGAUGGUACUCUCCAGGCUCCAGCCCUGCUCCUUAACCCUUCCAGAGCUCAGGAAGGGGAAGUUGUCCUGGCUCAAUGUGUCCUUCUGAAGCGGGUUCCUGCUGCCCGAAUUGUCUUCUGCAAGGAUGGGAUGGAGGUUCACAACAUGAAAGCCCAUCAGGAUACGGUCAUCUACUCCAUGCUGCUGAACAUCUCUGCAAGAAGCAGUGGGACAUACACGUGUAGGUACCAGCAGAGGAACAAGAGCAAUUGGCUAAGGAGAUCUCCCCUCAGCACUCCCUUGGAUCUACAUGUCACAGGUCAUGUGUCCAAUUCCACGGCAGGAACCAUAACUGCAGACACCAACACUCCUCUGAACCUCACAGUCAUUCAUGUGGUAUCAGUUACUGUCACCCUCCUGCUGUCUGCAGCCACCUUCUGGACCAUUAGGAAAGGUGAGGACUUGAGGGGACUGUGGGGGAUCCAUGAGGCUGCCACAGCUUUGAUGUGAGACUGUUUUUCUUACAGGUGCCUGCCGGGAGAGAUGCCGAAGGUGAGAAGGAAGGCUGGGAGGGGACGAUUGAGAGCAUUUGGGAACUUGGGGAACUCCUUUUGCAGGGCAGCAUUAUCUGUGAGUUCCCCCAUAACAGGAAGGGACUGCCAUGGUGUUGGAGAAGGAAGGAUUUCCUCAUGGUAACAUUACUGAUAGCACGUGGAUGCCUGGUGGAUGAGGGAUUGCCGUGGGGUUGGACUGAAAGCAGUGCCUGAUGCAAGGAGGCUUCAUCCAAAUGAAUAACAGUCCUGGCCCCCUGCAGCAAACAUCCACCCCAAAUACAUUUUCCUUUCAUCCACAGGCAGCA
ensembl:lncRNA